rnacentral:rRNA from 1 species
CAUGCAAGUCGAACGGCAGCACGGGUGCUUGCACCUGGUGGCGAGUGGCGAACGGGUGAGUAAUACAUCGGAACAUGUCCUGUAGUGGGGGAUAGCCCGGCGAAAGCCGGAUUAAUACCGCAUACGAUCUACGGAUGAAAGCGGGGGACCUUCGGGCCUCGCGCUAUAGGGUUGGCCGAUGGCUGAUUAGCUAGUUGGUGGGGUAAAGGCCUACCAAGGCGACGAUCAGUAGCUGGUCUGAGAGGACGACCAGCCACACUGGGACUGAGACACGGCCCAGACUCCUACGGGAGGCAGCAGUGGGGAAUUUUGGACAAUGGGCGAAAGCCUGAUCCAGCAAUGCCGCGUGUGUGAAGAAGGCCUUCGGGUUGUAAAGCACUUUUGUCCGGAAAGAAAUCCUUGGCUCUAAUACAGUCGGGGGAUGACGGUACCGGAAGAAUAAGCACCGGCUAACUACGUGCCAGCAGCCGCGGUAAUACGUAGGGUGCGAGCGUUAAUCGGAAUUACUGGGCGUAAAGCGUGCGCAGGCGGUUUGCUAAGACCGAUGUGAAAUCCCCGGGCUCAACCUGGGAACUGCAUUGGUGACUGGCAGGCUAGAGUAUGGCAGAGGGGGGUAGAAUUCCACGUGUAGCAGUGAAAUGCGUAGAGAUGUGGAGGAAUACCGAUGGCGAAGGCAGCCCCCUGGGCCAAUACUGACGCUCAUGCACGAAGCGUGGGGAGCAAACAGGAUUAGAUACCCUGGUAGUCCACGCCCUAAACGAUGUCAACUAGUUGUUGGGGAUUCAUUUCCUUAGUAACGUAGCUAACGCGUGAAGUUGACCGCCUGGGGAGUACGGUCGCAAGAUUAAAACUCAAAGGAAUUGACGGGGACCCGCACAAGCGGUGGAUGAUGUGGAUUAAUUCGAUGCAACGCGAAAAACCUUACCUACCCUUGACAUGGUCGGAAUCCCGCUGAGAGGUGGGAGUGCUCGAAAGACACCCGGCGCACAGGUGCUGCAUGGCUGUCGUCAUCUCGUGUCGUGAGAUGUGGGUUAAGUCCCGCAACGAGCGCAACCCUUGUCCUUAGUGCUACGCAGAGCACUCUAGGAGACUGCGYGACAA